rnacentral:rRNA from 1 species
CAAAUCCUGGGCGCAGCCUGAUGCAGCCAUGCCGCGUGUGUGAAGAAGGCCUUCGGGUUGUAAAGCACUUUCAGUAAGGAGGAAAGGUUAAGUGUUAAUAGCACUUAGCUGUGACGUUACUUACAGAAGAAGCACCGGCUAACUCCGUGCCAGCAGCCGCGGUAAUACGGAGGGUGCGAGCGUUAAUCGGAAUUACUGGGCGUAAAGCGUACGCAGGCGGUUUGUUAAGCGAGAUGUGAAAGCCCCGGGCUCAACCUGGGAACUGCAUUUCGAACUGGCAAACUAGAGUGUGAUAGAGGGUGGUAGAAUUUCAGGUGUAGCGGUGAAAUGCGUAGAGAUCUGAAGGAAUACCGAUGGCGAAGGCAGCCACCUGGGUCAACACUGACGCUCAUGUACGAAA